CGUGGUCGAUGCAGUCGACGGAACCGGCAGCCGCCACCCAAGGGUGCGCAGGUGGUUAGCAAAUCGCCG
rnacentral:sRNA from 2 species